rnacentral:lncRNA from 1 species
GCUCAGUUUAAUUUUAUUAGCUGCUGCUGAUUUGUUCCUAUUCAGUGCAUCCAUGGAUUUGUUUAGUGUGAUGUGGAGGGGUGUGGGUCAGAGACAGACACAUACUCGAUGGUCCUUGCGACAAAUAGCCCUGAGUUUAUUCCCACAGCUCCUUUUAUAGGAACUCAAAUUUCCCUAGCCUACACAUGGGAUUCGUUUAGGUCUUAGCACCAUGCAGAUCUCUGGCCAAUGAUACAUCUGCAUUUAGGGCAGAUGACACUGAAUGACACUGGCUGGGGGCCUCUGUGUAGAUUUGAAUCCAACCUAUCCUUGCCCACCCAGGGACUGUAAUGCUACAGUUUAGUAUCAAUAAUCAAGGGUAGAAAUUCUUGAAUAAAAAGCUAGGUGGAAAUUCUGAGUUUCUGGAGGACUCCAGGAUUUGUUUUGCUCUUUGUUUCCCUGUUCUAGGAGGUGUGAAGUACACUUGUCCUUUCAUAACUGGAACUAUUCAAGAUUAACAGGCCUGAAAGGGCACUAUAAGUUUCUCUUGCUGUCUGGUGUAGUAAAGAUCUUAUUCUUCUAGCAAACAUUUUGAAUGAAAGCUUUUGUUACAAGGAGAGGUGGAGUAGGCUGAAUCAAGCCUCUGUCAAGUGCCACUGCUGAAAUACUGAAUUAACAUACCCAAGACCAGCACAUCAGGAGGAUAGCCUUCUACCAAGAAUAGUGUGGAGGUUUGAUCAUCUCCUUAGUGCAAGCCCUGCACCUUCACCUAGAUUCCUUCGCAGGCAACUACAGUGGAUCUGCUCACCAAGGGAAUUUGUCCCACUGGAUUCCUUUUUUUUUUUUUUUUUCUGUGCAGUUGAAUGAAAAGUAUGUGCCUUCUGAAGAACAGCAACUGAAAGAAAUAUUGAUGACUGCCAGGGCAUCUACAGAAAAAAGAUAAGAAAAUUACUCUACUACAACAGUGAAAACAAAGGGGCUUUGUUAACACUUUCUUGUAGGUUGUAUAUAUUAAUAGUAACAAGUAAAGUUUUGUAUUUUUUCAGAGAAACACACAAGGCCUUGAAUUGUAUUGUUUUAAUUGCAACUAACUGAAUGAAUUAAGUGGAAAAUUGCACACAGUACUUUGAUUGUCUAAUUCUCUGUAUGUGAGGCUUUGGGAACAGUUUGUUAUUAUAAAAGAACAGCACUAACCAGAAAUCAGCCAACAUGUAAUUGCUAGGCUGAGGGGCAGUUUGGGGAAAGCUGAUACUUAUUUAUACAUUAUUAAAUAAAAGCACAUAAUAUGAGGAUCAUCUCUCACUGCCUCCACACUUCAUACAU